CCUACGGGAGGCAGCAGUGAGGAAUAUUGGUCAAUGGACGAGAGUCUGAACCAGCCAAGUAGCGUGAAGGAUGACUGCCCUAUGGGUUGUAAACUUCUUUUAUAAAGGAAUAAAACGAGGCACGUGUGCCUUUUUGCAUGUACUUUAUGAAUAAGGAUCGGCUAACUCCGGUCCAGCCGCCGCGGUAAUACGGGGGAUCCGAGCGUUAUCCGGAUUUCUUUGGUUUAAAGGGAGCGUAGAUGGGUUGAUAAGUCAGUUGUGAAAGUUUGCGGGUCAAACGUAAAAUUGCAAUUGAUACUGGCAGUCUUGAGUACAGUUGAGGUAAGCGGAAUUCGUGGUGUAGCGGUGAAAUGCUUAGAUAUCACGAAGAACCCCGAUUGCGAAGGCAGCUUACUAAACUGUGACUGACAUUGAUGCUCGAAAGUGUGGGUAUCAAACAGGAUUAGAUACCCGGGUAGUC
rnacentral:rRNA from 1 species